CCUACGGGAGGCAGCAGUGGGGGAUAUUGCACAAUGGGGGGAACCCUGAUGCAGCGACGCCGCGUGGGUGAAGGAGCGUUUCGGCGCGUAAAGCCCUAUCGGCAGGGAAGAAGGAGGACGGUACCUGACUAAGAAGCACCGGCUAACUACAUGCCAGCAGCCGCGGUAAUACGUAGGGGGCAAGCGUUAUCCGGAUUUACUGGGUGUAAAGGGGGCGCAGACGGGAGCGCAAGCCAGGAGUGAAAGCCCGGGGGCCAACCCCGGGACUGCUCUUGGAACUGGGCGGCUGGAGUGAAGGAGGGGUAGGCGGAAUUCCUGGUGUAGCGGUGAAAUGCGUAGAUAUCAGGAGGAACACCGGUGGCGAAGGCGGCCUGCUGGACUGCGACUGACGUUGAGGCCCGAAAGCGUGGGGAGCAAACAGGAUUAGAUACCCCUGUAGUC
rnacentral:rRNA from 1 species